GCUUAACACAUGCAAGUCGAGCGGAAACGAUGAUAGCUUGCUAUCAGGCGUCGAGCGGCGGACGGGUGAGUAAUACUUAGGAAUCUACCUAGUAGUGGGGGAUAGCACGGGGAAACUCGUAUUAAUACCGCAUACGACCUACGGGAGAAAGGGGGCAGUUUACUGCUCUCGCUAUUAGAUGAGCCUAAGUCGGAUUAGCUAGAUGGUGGGGUAAAGGCCUACCAUGGCGACGAUCUGUAGCUGGUCUGAGAGGAUGAUCAGCCACACCGGGACUGAGACACGGCCCGGACUCCUACGGGAGGCAGCAGUGGGGAAUAUUGGACAAUGGGGGAAACCCUGAUCCAGCCAUGCCGCGUGUGUGAAGAAGGCCUUUUGGUUGUAAAGCACUUUAAGCAGUGAAGAAGACUCCGUGGUUAAUACCCACGGACGAUGACAUUAGCUGCAGAAUAAGCACCGGCUAACUCUGUGCCAGCAGCCGCGGUAAUACAGAGGGUGCAAGCGUUAAUCGGAAUUACUGGGCGUAAAGGGAGCGUAGGUGGCUCUAUAAGUCAGAUGUGAAAUCCCCGGGCUUAACCUGGGAACUGCAUCUGAAACUGUAGAGCUAGAGUAUGUGAGAGGAAGGUAGAAUUCCAGGUGUAGCGGUGAAAUGCGUAGAGAUCUGGAGGAAUACCGAUGGCGAAGGCAGCCUUCUGGCAUAAUACUGACACUGAGGCUCGAAAGCGUGGGUAGCAAACAGGAUUAGAUACCCUGGUAGUCCACGCCGUAAACGAUGUCUACUAGUCGUUGGGUCCCUUGAGGACUUAGUGACGCAGCUAACGCAAUAAGUAGACCGCCUGGGGAGUACGGCCGCAAGGUUAAAACUCAAAUGAAUUGACGGGGGCCCGCACAAGCGGUGGAGCAUGUGGUUUAAUUCGAUGCAACGCGAAGAACCUUACCUGGUCUUGACAUAUCUAGAAUCCUGCAGAGAUGCGGGAGUGCCUUCGGGAAUUAGAAUACAGGUGCUGCAUGGCUGUCGUCAGCUCGUGUCGUGAGAUGUUGGGUUAAGUCCCGCAACGAGCGCAACCCUUGUCCUUAGUUACCAGCGGGUUAAGCCGGGAACUCUAAGGAUACUGCCAGUGACAAACUGGUGGAAGGCGGGGACGACGUCAAGUCAUCAUGGCCCUUACGACCAGGGCUACACACGUGCUACAAUGGUAGGUACAGAGGGCAGCUACACAGCGAUGUGAUGCGAAUCUCAAAAAGCCUAUCGUAGUCCAGAUUGGAGUCUGCAACUCGACUCCAUGAAGUAGGAAUCGCUAGUAAUCGCGGAUCAGAAUGCCGCGGUGAAUACGUUCCCGGGCCUUGUACACACCGCCCGUCACACCAUGGGAGUUGAUUGCACCAGAAGUGGAUAGCUUAACCUUCGGGGGAGCG
rnacentral:rRNA from 1 species